AAGUCGUAACAAGGUUUCCGUAGGUGAACCUGCGGAAGGAUCAUUACCGAACUGUCGACACGAGUUGUUGCUGGUCCUCGAAUGGGGGCAUGUGCACGCUCUGUUUGCACAUCCACUCACACCUGUGCACGCUCUGUAGUUCUGUGCCUUGAGGGCCCCCCGUCCUCUUGCUGCGGUUCUAUGUCUUUACACACACACCGUAAUAAAGUCUCAUGGAAUGUAGUCGCGUUUAACGCAAUACAAUACAACUUUCAGCAACGGAUCUCUUGGCUCUC
rnacentral:misc_RNA from 1 species